AUUGAACGCUGGCGGAAUGCUUUACACAUGCAAGUCGAACGGUGGAGGGGGCAACCCCUCGAGAGUGGCGAACGGGUGAGUAAUAUAUCGGAACGUGCCCAGUCGUGGGGGAUAACGUAGCGAAAGUUACGCUAAUACCGCAUACGAUCUAAGGAUGAAAGCGGGGGAUCGCAAGACCUCGCGCGAUUGGAGCGGCCGAUAGCAGAUUAGGUAGUUGGUGGGGUAAAGGCUCACCAAGCCAACGAUCUGUAGCUGGUCUGAGAGGACGACCAGCCACACUGGAACUGAGACACGGUCCAGACUCCUACGGGAGGCAGCAGGGGGGAAUUUUGGAAAAUGGACGCAAGUCUGAUCCAGCCAUUCCGCGUGCAGGAUGAAGGCCCUCGGGUUGUAAACUGCUUUUGUACGGAACGAAAAGGUCUCUCUUAAUACGGGGGACUCAUGACGGUACCGUAAGAAUAAGCACCGGCUAACUACGUGCCAGCCGCCGCCGUAACAC
rnacentral:rRNA from 1 species